rnacentral:rRNA from 1 species
GACAGAGGAUGCAAACGUUGCUCGGAUUUACUGGGCGUAAAGCGCGCGCAGGCGGUCCUGUAAGUCGGACGUGAAAGCCCGGGGCUCAACCUCGGAAGUGCGUCUGAUACUGCAGGACUGGAGUACUGGAGAGGAGAGCGGAAUUCCCGGUGUAGAGGUGAAAUUCGUAGAUAUCGGGAGGAACACCAGUGGCGAAGGCGGCUCUCUGGACAGAUACUGACGCUGAGGUGCGAAAGCGUGGGGAGCAAACAGG